GGAAAGGAUUCCUUAUCAGCAGACAGUUACAGCUCCCACUAGGACACUGCCUUCUCAGCGGCUUCAGUUAUCAGAUAUUCCUGGACAUACUUUCCAAGCCAUGAAAAAUAACAGCCACAGCUUUCCCAGCACUCUGACAAACAUCCAUGAGCCCCCAAAGACCGGGAAGUAAUGAUGAUGCAGCUGCGGCACCAUAGAAGAAACAAGUGAUUUCAGUCAAAGGGCCUGGACUCACGAGCUAGCAACUUUGGACAGAUUCUUGAACUCUCAGCCUCAGUUUCUGCUUCUGUAAAGGGAGAUAACUACAGUGACCUUCAGGUUAUCUUGAAGAUGCCAAUGAGCUAGUGAAAAUGCAAUUUAAUCUGUACAGAACUAAACAAAUGCUCUUUUAAUACAAAUUAAUUAAAAGCAGGCAUCUUAAGAGGUGGCUUAAGAAGACUCCUGCAUCAUCAUAGGGAGUUAAAAUUCUGAGCAAAAAGCCUUCUGGAGGAGAAGCAUAGGACAGGCAGCCCCAAGACUGGACUGGAUAGAUGUUGCUGAGCCACCAACUCUCUGAGGGACCUGAGACAAAGCCAGGUGACCUCACCAGUGCUCCAUGUUCUCACCAUAAGUUCUAUAGGACACUCAAAUAUUCUCAGGACAUCAGUUUACUAUACACAUGCACACACACAUAUUUUACAUUUCAUUCAAAGGGUAAAACAUAGACUCCCUUUGUUCUAUAAACCUACAAACAUGUCUGAGCAUUUUUUACAUAAAUAUUUCACAAAUAUUUUACAUGAAUACUUCGACUUAUAAGUCCAUAUUUUAACAAUGGCAUCUUUUCCAAUGUGUACAUUAUGGAAGUGUGGUUGGGGUGUACAGCCUAGGAGCUCAGGGACUGCACAGGCCUGUUCUUUAUGGAUGCAUUGCAUUCAUCUCCCACAGCCAUUUGUAGCUUCAGCUGUUUCUGAAAGCAGCCACUUUCCCUUUUGAUGUCUGAGGUCCAUUAUUUUCAUUUUUGACUUAACCAACAGGUGUUCUCUCUUGAACUCUUUCCUACAUGAGCUGUCUUGCCUCAGGGUUCCCACGGACAGGAGAGUUUUUCCUACAGUGUUACUGAGAGGCACAGAGAAAUCAGUUCCUCCUGGUCCACUGGCUCCGCUCUCAGCACUGCAGUCUCUUGUGACCACGCUGAAGUCUCAACGUUUCCCCCUUCUGAGGACAUGCAGGGACAGAAGGGUGAACCACAAGGGCCAGACCUAAUGCUCCAGGAAAACAAUGAAAGAACAAUUUUCCAUCCUUUUAUUUAGGGCUUAAGUAAGCCAGGCCUGUAACACCAAAUUGUGAGAGUGCACAAGAUGUUUUUGAACCUUGGUGCAGAAUCCAGAAAGAAGUGCAGCCUCUGGUGACAGGGUCUUGGGCUAGCCAUGUGAAGCCUGGCUUUAUGUCAGGCCUCUCAAAUGUGCUGUACAAACCUACCUGCAGGUCUACUCUAGGCAGAAGGGGUGGACCGAUGGCACCAACAAACACAUCUGUACACACAACAGUGCAGCAGACACUUGUGGAUGGGGUAUGAGACAAGCUGUAGAUGCCCUCAAUUAAAUCUGAGGACAAAAGAAGACUGCCCAGAGAGUGGCACUAGCAUGGCAACAAAAUAUUUCAAAAUAUUAAUGGGUUUUACAUACACGCAUAAAAUCACAUUUUUCUGACCUUAUAACACAUUUCAGUCAUUUAGGUAUUGAGUUUGUAAUGCUUGUGGAUACUCGAAAAAUUGAAAGAGGCAAAGUUAGACUUCUUGUCCCCAAGACUGGAAAUAUGUCCCUUCGUUGGGAGUUGGGUGGUGUUGAAUGCAGUUGGGGUGGAAGGAGAGGAGAGCUAAUGGGAAAACAAAGAAUAAGUAAAUGUUCUACAUUCCUGAGAAAAGGGGCCCUGCCCCCUAGCCAUCUCUGCAGCAAAGCCCUGGGGGAGAGAGAGAGAAUGCUCAGACAUGUUUGUAGGUUUACAGAACAAAGGGAAUCUAUGUUUUACCCUUUGAAUGAAAUACAGGAAAGCAAAAUACCUAGAGCAGAAAUGGCUGUGUGACAUGUCAGACAAGGUCAUAGAGUUUUCCAUGGCCCUGCACUGCCCGUGGCUCAUGUGGCAUGACUGUAGGUGAAACCCAGAAUGGACUCUCAAGGUGCCCUGGGCUCCCUUCCUCAAUGGCUGAAGAAGGCUUCUCUUGACCUAAUGGAGUUUAAAGAGACUUGGGGAUAUAGUGAACUAGACCCCAGAAGCCUUUCAAACAGGAACUAGGGGGCGCCCACCAGGACCUUGUGGACUGACAGUGGAGGCUCAAUGAGACAAAAUGUGUCAUGGAGAUGCCUUCAGGACAGACAGCAUUCGGGAACAGAUACCAGCUCCUUACAGUCUUGGCCUCCAGAUUAGACAUGGCCCUGGAAAAAGGUGAUGGGGGACCUGGAAUUACCAGACAGCAAUUCCGUUCCCCCACUUAGUGGAAUGGGAGCACAACAUGUAAAUUAAAGGAAUUAGAGAAAAACA
rnacentral:lncRNA from 10 species